CUGCGGAAGGAUCAUUACAGAGCGUGAGGCUCACGCAUGGCAUCUGCCGUGUGCUGGGCCGACCCUCCCACCCGUGUCGAUAUCUAUUUUGUUGCUUUGGCGGGCCGGGUAUGGCCACGCUGCCCUCCGUGGCAAGCGUGUGUUGCUGCCCACCGGCUUCGGCUGGGGCGUGUCCGCCAGAGACCUCACCCAAAUUCUAGUUGUCGUGUAGUCUAAGCUUUAUUAUGCAAUUGAUAAAACUUUCAACAACGGAUCUCUUGGCUCUGGCAUCGAUGAAGAACGCAGCGAAAUGCGAUAAGUAAUGUGAAUUGCAGAAUUUAGUGAAUCAUCGAAUCUUUGAACGCACAUUGCGCCCCUUGGUAUUCCGAGGGGCAUGCCUGUUCGAGCGUCAUAACACCGCCUUCAAGCUGCCAUUGUGUGGCUUUGGUGUUGGGGCUCGCCGCGUAGCGCGGUGGCUCUUAAAGACAGUGGCGGUCCCAGCGUGGGCUCUACGCGUAGUAACUUGUUUCUCGCGACAGAGUGACGACGGCGACUUGCCAAUAACCCCCACCUUUGUCCGGUAGCACGGAUUACAGGUUGACCUCGAAUCAGGUAGGAAUACCCGCUGAACUUAAGCAUAUCA
rnacentral:rRNA from 1 species